UGAGGUAGAGCUUAGAGGUAGAGCACCUGCAUGACAUGUAUGAGGUCUGGGUUCAAUCCCCAGGGCCACUA
rfam:Ictidomys tridecemlineatus contig104602, whole genome shotgun sequence.